CCCAAGGCGAGGGUGCGCAAUUGCGCUCUACUGCACUCGUCGAAUGCCUCCUCGCCGCCAUUCACUCUCGCCGGGGGUACUCUCACACGCGAACACUAAAGCGCACCACCUCUCUAUGUGUAUUGACAU
ensembl:ncRNA Y34B4A.15 ncRNA